GCAAAAAAAGAGGCCUGGUAGAUUCCGAUUACCGGGCCUUGGGAAAUGGCUCUGGCAGAGCCGUGCGCUAAAAUUGCCAUUGAGACGUAACAAAGUACAAUUUAAUAGUAGCUUGCCAAAUCCAUUCUUACCACAU
rnacentral:sRNA from 1 species